CGCCCGGGCCCACGCAAGGCAGGCUUCGAACCCGGUCAGGCCUUAACGGGAGCAGCCGUAAGAAACACCGCCUGUGCCGUGGUUCACCCGGGUGUCG
rfam:Omnitrophica bacterium OLB16 TZ16_OP3001CONTIG000097, whole genome shotgun sequence.